GUUGAAACUGUGAUAAUCAGUCCAUUUCUGUCUCUCCCCAUCCAUCUGUCCAGUUUCUCUUUCCAGAAGAUUCCAUGAGACUGAAGAUGGCCACUUGCAGCUCCUGGCUACUACAGCAAUAAAGAAUGAGAAUCCUGGGGGGAAUUCUUGUCUCCAGAGAUCAAGCAAAGCUCCAAGAGAGAGUACAAGAGCGAGCAGGACAUGGGCUUCAGAUGUGAGAGCAUGGUGCAGAGAGACAGUCCAUGAGCUCAGAUCUGCCCACACUGGCAAGUUUGGCUAUGUUUACUGUCAUCGUGACAAAGACCUGACUGAAAUAACGCAUUGGAGGAAGGCUAUCUUGAGCUUAUGCUUCUGAGGGCUCCUUUCUGGUCUGGUUUGGACCUGACAUGAGGCUGACCAUGACAGAGGCCGACAGGAAGCAGAGUGUAGCAGUUUGCAUCAUGGAGGCCAGAGUGUUGAGAAAGAGGAUGGCCACACCCCUGGCUUUCUCCCUCCUCACAGGACAGUCCUUCUCUCUUAGGUAACCCUCUCAGGGACACACUACCACAGACACACCCAGCAUUCUAAUCCCCAGGUACUUCUCAGCCAUGUCAUCAGAGUGAAAAACUAGAUAAUCAUUGUGGCUAGCUUUCUUCCUCCAUAACUCCCAGUGUCCAUGUAGUUUUCGUAGGUAGGUAGGUAGGUCAUCUUACCCCUGAAAUCAGUUUCCUUACUGAAAGCAUGGGAAUAAGAAAUCCACCAUAGAGGACAAUUGGGAAGAUUAAAUGUUACAGUGUAAAUGAUGAGAUACAGUACAGAGAGCUUGGAAGACAGAUGGGCUAUGGGUAUGUCAAGCUCUCCCUGAAGUACCAUGCUCUACAGCAAUCGCUGCAUAGGCUUCUAACUGGAGAGCUUGGAAGAGUGAGUGGUGUAUGGAGAGAAAGAAACCUAGACAAAUGAGCGAGCAUACAGUCUUCAUGCUGAUCAGUUUCCUGGUGGAAAUAGAGUGAUAAGAUACAGAGUGUCUCAGGGAUUGCAUUGCUGUGAACAGACGCCAUGACCGAGGCGACUCUUAUAAGGACAACAUUUAAUUGAGGCUGGCUUACAGGUUCAGAGGUUCAGUCCAUUAUCAUCAAGGCAGGAGCAUGGAAGCAUCCAGGCAGGCGUGGUGUGGGAGGAGCUGAGAGUUCUAUAUCUUAAUCUGAAGGCCACUAGCAAAAUACUGGCUUCCUGGCAGCUAGGACAAGGGUCUUAAAGCCCACCCCCACAGUGAAACACUUCCUCCAACAAGGACACACUUACUCCAACAAAGCUACACGUACUCCAGCAAGGCCACAUCUAUUCCAGCAAGG
rnacentral:lncRNA from 1 species